rnacentral:snoRNA from 1 species
AUCCUUUUGUAGUUCAUAAACAUGAUGAUUGUGUUUUCACGCACAUGCUUGAGAUGUGCUUCUCUUAAACCUUGUUAUGACAUUGGCACAUUACCCGUCUGACA